GGGCUGGGCCAGAACAUGAAGGGAAGGAGCCUCAACAGGGCCAAGGAACAGCCUGACGCAGGCGGGAGAGUGCUCAGAGGUUCCGCCUAGCUGCACGUGCUGGCACGGGGAGGGGGGCCGAGCGGGGGUGGGGGGUGUGGGGCGGGGCAGGGUGGGGGAGGCGGGGGCAGGGGGAGUGGGUCGGAUUCGGCAGCACUUCUGCAAAGGAUCUGAUGGGGUCCCUGGGAUGCUCAAUGGUGGGCAAGCCCACGUAAACCAUUGCGAACCAAGACGCUGGCUGCCGUGAAACACCCGCUCAACGCCCGGGCACUGGGCUUGCCUCAUACAGGCAGUUUGUUCAGCCCUGGCCUCAGGACCAGACGCUGGGGCCAAAGCAGCCAUGUGGCUUCCGACAGAUGCCCAUCAGACGGCCGCAGACGAUGAGAAUUACAUGGCACCACUCAGCUCACCAGCUGUGCACCUCCAGGGGCUUCCGUUGGGGCCUCGUUCUGACGUCUUUCUGAGAUCCAGCAGCGACCUGGCUUCGGGCCAGCCUCCCUUAUCUGAAUCUCACGCAAGCAGCAUGUGUGUGACAGUACCCAUUCCAUCUUCAUCAUGCCCAAGAGUUUCAGCUCCGGGUUCUCUUCUGAAGCUGGAAAUCUUCUCUGGGAGGCCGUUUCCCCAUUAAAACAGCGGUGUCUAGAUUGGAAAGGGGAGGGUGGGCCUUCCAUGACUCAGGGCUAAAGGACAACAGGAGCAAACAUAAAAGCUGGCUAUGAUGGGGCGUCUGGCCUGGCUCCUGCCAUCCAGGGGACAGAUGGGUUGUGGAGUGACGCUGGGCAGGCAACACUCUGGACUCUCAGGGCGAUGAGGAGGGUCCCACAUUCAUGCAUUUCCCAAAGGAAGUUUCCAGGAUUGUACCAAGACCUCACAUGGAUACGUCCUAAGCACUGGCAUUUACUGAGCGUGCCGUUCUGAGCUGGUGAGCCAGAGGGAUGAGAACUCUGCCUGGAGAAGUGGGUGCCCAGCAUGUAUGUCAAGGCUUGGCCCGGACCUGAGGGAGUCCUUGCUGAACGUGCGGUGCAGGACUUACAUUUCAGGGCUAACGUUUGCCACGAAAACCAGCCCAACGUGGGACAUGAAAGCAUCUUAGCCGCAGCAGCCGAGUCCAGCAAUGUGGACAGCCAGACGCAUGCUUGGUGGAGGCAGCCAGCGCCCCCAUCCUGGUCUCGGUCAUCAGUUCCAUCAAUGACAAAUGCUGCUGGGGCCCAUGAGGACCACCCGCGCCACUCACAUGUUGCUUUCCUUCUGCGAUCUGCUAGCUUCCGAGAUGGCCAAGGCAGAUGCACUCAUGGCUCAGUGAGAAGGUGAACGUCACCUCUGCGUUCACUGCUAAUGGAGACUGGAGUAAUGAUGUCUGGUCCGCGUUAAGGCGGGCAGCUCGGCAGCCCACACCUUUGGUUUUCUGGUCUCAGGCCCAUUAUGGAUAAGCUGGUGUGGGGUGGGGCAGGGGAGUUUCAGGGGCUGGAAGGGCCUCAUGGCAGCCCCACGUAGAGGCUGCCUAGCCCCUGGACUGGCCCCACCAAGGGGAACAGGACAUUGCAGCUGGGCUUGGGGAAGAAGGGAGGCCUGUCCUUUUGAUUCUUCUUUCUGGCAUCCUGUGUGUGCACGUCUGUGUAGGUGUGUGUACACAUGCACACCUGCCUAUAGUUUCUUUCCACUUGGAAUUGGUUUUGACAAAAAGGUGCGUCAGCUUCCCAAGCUGGUCCCUGUAACAGUGAAGGAUGGAGCCUCAUCCUCAUCCCAGAGCCACACCCUCAGCUUCCCCUGGAAAAGGCAGCGGCUUCUUCCGAUCCACACCCUCAGCUUCCCCCGGAAAAGGCAGCAGCUUCUUCUGAUGCAUGGAUACAGCCCCCACUACGGAGCUGGGGAGGGAGCUGCAGGCAGCCUUGACCCCAGACCAAAUUCAAAGGACCUGCCUCUUCCAAAGGCCUCCCUCCAAGGGCCACGGGGACCCCAUGACCGUCCUCUCAUCCCAAGCUGGCUGCAUGGGGUGGGCUGGUUUAUACGCAGAUAAGACUGCACCUGCUGAUGAGGCCAGAUGCAGGUGAACCCCGGUGCUGCAAAUGAGGAGUCUGCAGAUGGGGUGAGGCUGAAAGGCAGUUGUGGAAGGCCGGGCAGUGGCAGCCACGUGGCAGAGGAGGGGGUGGGAGACCCGGGGCAGGGAUGGGACAGCCAUGGGGUGCAGGAGACUGCACCCCCUGUGAAGGACAGGCCAGCGGCCAGCCCCCAGGCCACCCUGGCUCCUGUCAGCAUCCCAGGUCGAGUCCACUGUCAUCCUCAUCUGAACACCCUGACUGCAUCUAACACCAGGGCAUCUGCUUCCUGGCCUCUGCAGGGCCCACUCUACAGCCUCUGACGCUAUGUGCGAUGGUCUCAGGGUCAGGGCCAAGAGCACUGUGAUAGCGAAUUUCAUGUGUCAACCUGAGUGGGCCUUGGGUGCCUAGACAUUUAGCCAAGCAUCGUUCUGGGUGUGCUGUGGGUGUUUCCAGGUGAGAUUAGCAUGUGAAGGGUGGCCCUCCCCAGGGUGGUGGGCCUCGUCCAAUCAGUUGGGGGCCUACAUAGAUCCAAAGGCUGAGUGAGAGGGCCUCCUCCUGUGACAGCUGCAGCUGGGACCUCGGUCUUUUCCUGCCUUUGGGCUUGGACUGAAAUGCCAGCUCUUCUUGGGUCUUCAGCCUUCAGGCUGGAACCUGCAGCAGCAUUUCUCUGGUUCUUGGGCCUUCAGACUCAGACUGGACCGAAACCAUCAGCUCUCCUGGGCCUCCAGCUUGCCAACGACAGGUCUCGGGACUUGCCCCUUCCAUAAGUGCUUGAGCCAGGUCUUCAGGAUAAAUCUCUUUCCACCUAUCCUGUUGGUUGUGUUUCUCUGGAUAACUCAGACUAAUACAAGCCAGUCCUUCCAUA
rnacentral:lncRNA from 1 species